UUAUGUGAACUUUGCAAAGCAUUACUGGUCACAGCAGGAUAAAGGAAGAACAUUGUGAUAGGUUAAACAAUAGUAUAAACUAGUCUAGCUAUGAUGAUCCUUCAAAUACUGAAUCCUUAAUAGUCAAUAGAGCAGAAUAGAUACAAAGGAUUCAUAAUGGUGGCCCUAACUAAUUUGGUGAAACAUAGUUGAAUUGUUUUAUCAAAUCAUACGUUACGUAUUCAAAUACUGAAUCCUUAAUAGUCAAUAGAGCAGAAUAGAUACAAAGGAUUCAUAAUGGUGGCCCUAACUAAUUUGGUGAAACAUAGUUGAAUUGUUGAUUGAUAUGUAACGAGGGACUAGGGGAGGACUCUGGAUAAUGUUCAUAUUUUUCAAAAGUUUAAGGUACUUCCAAAGCACUUUCUGGGAUAAUUUCCUUAGACAGAUCUCCACCAUCAACCACCCCCUCACCAACAAGUCUCACAUGGUAAUAUAAUUUUCAGUUCUGUGGUUCAAAAAUAUUAUUUCAAAGCAUCUGCUGAUCUGUUCCUAUUAAGUAGGCAAAUGUAAGACAACCACAAUUAGGCCUGGAACUCUCAAAGCGAGUCCAAGGAAAAAUUGAACAUCCAAAUGACAGCAAGUUGGUUUGAACUUUGAACCAAUAGCAAGAAAGGAUCCAUACAUUCAACAAAGCAACAAGUGUUAUCUAAACACAAAACAAAUAGCAAAAUCGUGAGUGAAAGACCAAAUCAUAGUUCAGAACCUACAAGCUUCCAGGGAAAAGUAGAUCAAUGACAUUAAUAAAGGCAAUAUUACAGAAACAUUAUACAGCAAUAUCCAACAGAAGAUUCAAUUUGCAAAAGAAGAAAAACAUGUUUCGGAUAUACCAAAGUAAUGGCAGGCCUACUUGAUGAGAUCAAACGAGCUAUAAAUGUAAUCAAAUUCAACACAAUGGUGAACCAAGAGAGAUGCAAACAUAUUCCAGAGAUCAAAUCCGUAGAGAAGUAGGUCAAAGAAACUAAAAUAAAGGAGGAAAUAACACAAAAUUUUAUAAAACAAAAAUCCAACAGACGAUUCAAGUAACAAAAAAGGAAGAAAAACAUGUUCCAGAUGAACCAAAAUAAUGGCAUACCUCCUCUGUGAGAUCGUAAGAGCUACAAAUUUCAUCAAAUUUAAAACUAUGGUCUAGCAGGACAGAAACAAACAUAUUCCAGCUCAAGUGAUCACAGAAGCUUUGAGGUGAACUACAUACAGGAGUUAUCUACAUAAAUGUUUGAAAAAUGUUAUAAUCUUAUAAAAAAGAACAUGUCACACUCUCACUGAUCAAGAAAACAUUUCAUACUCUUUGUCAUUUAUUUCACCUGCUUGCACUUUGGAGAUCAAAAGAAACUCCUCCUUGACCAUUAAGUUUUCAAUUAGUCAUUUAUUAUAUUAAAUUCUU
rnacentral:lncRNA from 1 species